AGCUGCGAAAAGGUCAACCGCGCACCAGUCUAGCACCACCGUCAAACAGUUGCCACCCUAGAAAUUUCCGCAGCGAUCAGUUCUACAUCUACCUACCGGGGUUUUUAAGCGACAACUUGCUAAAAAUUUAAACACUUCAUUUAAACACACUUUAACUAGGUCCUAACCUUGGCUACGUCCUGUCACCUGCGGCCUACUCCACCGUUGGCUUCAGCCGAAUCCAUGAUUCGAUAUGUAGUCGCACUGACGCCGCGCAGGAUGCUACUGUGCUGUUGCCGAACCCCCAACCAGGCUAACCGUUCCCGAGUGGUUUGUUCCUCAAGAUUUAGCUUAUCAUAAAUCAUCUCCUAUCGAGGUGGGGUGUGGCUCUUCUGACCCGGAACGCGGGUGUUGUAACCCGACUAUUCCGCUAGUAUCUUAGGAAAUUUGCAUCGGACGACAAUAAAGUAGAAGCUGAGGUCGAUAAACAGCAUCCGUACACAAAUAGAUAGACUUCGGAGAUGAUAAUAAUAACAAUUAGAAUGGUGGCAGUGAUGCAACUGAUACCUGACGACGGUCGGGCUUAAAAUGAGGCCAACCAAGAUAUACGAAGAAGUGUCUCGUCGCUGGAACAAGGCUCUUAUAUAACUAUUUUGGAUUAUACUUUGUUUACCACGGGUCUAUUCGAUGCAUCUUGACAGAGAAAAAAAAAUCAGCCAGCUC